CCUAAAGAUCUUGUCUCAGAAGCUGUAAACAUAAAAAACAGAGUUAUGUCAAUGGGAAUCAAAGGAAAUUCGUUGUGGUGACAAUUUGAAAUCUGCAAUGGUUUGGAGAAAUCACCUCCUUUUCACUGAUGGCAUAUGCUACCAGAGCACAGUCUGUUCUGGAGUAAAUUCUGUAGAAGUCUGGGCAUCCCUGCGGAGAGAAGGAGAGGCUCAGCACAUUGACUAGUCCCAGAAAUCAGCUUUGUCCUCAUUUGUCUGCAAAGUGGAAUAUUCAACACAUAGCGACCAAACCCACGAGGGAACAGAAGUACGAGCACCAGCGAUGCAGUAUCUUCAGAAACCAUGCUGUUUUGGGUUCAGGCUUACACCCACCCACAUAUGUUGUAUUAUACCAUUGCAUAACCAGAGAUCUCAGGAGCCUGAAUUCUCAGUCUCUGUGGCUGCACACUGCAAUUGCUGUGCCAAUAUGAAAAUAGUGGUAUCAUAUGCCGAUGCACCAUCCCGUGAAAGUGCUACUAGCAUGGCUUUCCCUGAGACACAGGGUAUUUCUUCAGGCCUUCAUUUCUCCACUAGAAUUCCACCCAAGAAAAUGAUAUGCUAAAGAGGAAUUUUCUGAAAACAUUUGUUAACGGCUGUGUAAAUUACAAAUGCUGUCAGUAAUUGCUCAUUAGUACAGAACCAAAAGGAGGAUAACCCCCAGUCUGCUACUAGAAAGGUAGUACUGAAAUCACACCAACAACAUACGAAAAUAUAAAACUCAGCUGGAGUCAGAGGGUUUGAACUUUGAUUGUGGGUAAUCGGCUGUAUAGCAUUCUUGUUAACUGUGGAAGACAUCUGACUACGUAUCUGUGCAAAGCGAAGGUGUGCUUGCAGAAACCAAGCACGCUGAAAGCACGGCAUGACUUUAUCCACAG